ACAAGUGCUCCUGGGGCUGCAAACACAGACGUCCCGGCUGCUUUUAGCAUCUCAGAAGCCCAAACCGGCUGUGACCAAUAUGGAGGCGACCUAACCCCCAAGCUGAGCUUUCUUUGUCUCCAGCAGGGCAGGCGCUGAGGACUUACACAAAAUAAACAUGCAUCAGUAUCCUCAAAGACAAGAGAAGAUUGAGAAAACGUGGAAGGUGGCAAAGGCUAAGGAGAAAUAACAACUGAAUGUAAAGUGGAUCCUGGAUCAGAAAAAAAGACAUUAGUGGGAAAAUGGCAGAAUUUCCAUUAAGAUCUGCAGCUCAAUUUAUAAUGUUGUACCACUGUGAAGUUCCUGUUCUCAAAAUAUCUACAAUUAGUUAUGUGGUUCCCUUUAGAGCAAGAGGGCUUGUGAGAUGUUAUAAAGACUGUCCAUGGCCUAUUGUUGUACCUCUUCUAUAAUAUGAAAGUGAGUUGACAACUCCUUCAGGGACAAUCACAUUCACACAUUCAAUGAAGACUUGAGACAAGGAUCCUACCGCACAUCCUAGGCUCCCCUUGUCACCUCUUCAGACUGGUGCCUUUUAGGAUGGAGAGGGGCUUCCUACAACUGCUGGUCUGAAGCCAUCGCCAGGUCAGGCACACCUUAAGAAAACCAAGAACAAAUGAGGAGGAAAAAAAUCACACUCAGCUACACAGCCAAACACAGCAAAAACAGCUACAAGGUCACUAGGAAGAAUGGGGACUAUCAUGGGCCUUUGGAUCACAGCCGUAGCCACCACUACGGCCAUGCCGGCCAGAUUUGAUGACCAGAUGCAGACACUACAGACUGCAUACACUAUGGACCGAAAUCCAAAUGGAGCGGAUAGGAAUGGGAUCUGAUGUGAGGCCAGACUUUGAGUCGGAGUUCCCUCUUGUCCAGCAAGAGAGUGGAUGCAGAAUUGAAUACGAGAGAGCUUAAUGUCCGGGAGGAGACAAGAGCCCCAAGAUCUGCAAAACGAGGACUGAGCAGAUCACCUCCACAUUUCUUCCACGCUACAAUUCUAUGAAUUGGAAAUGAAAUGGAACCUUCCCAGAACAUGGGUGAAACCCCUGCAGACAUGCUGGAUACCCUCCCGGGGUAGAGCCCUCAGCCCCACUGAAGGGUACUGGAAGGAGGAAGUAUAGGAUACCCGGCGGGGAAUCAAGUGGUUCCUGCAGGAUCAGUGCCUCCACAAUGACCAAGGUUUAGACCAAGACUUCAGGGUGCUAAAGGUGGUGAAGUAUCAAAAGGAAAACACAGAAAUGGACUUCCACUCCAACCAUGAUGGAGUCACAAGGACCAGAUUUACCUUUGCUGCUUCAACAAAUGAAAAACUGGAAAAAAUAAGUAAAACAACAUUUGAAAACAGGCAAAGCAGGGGGAAAAUCCCUGAGAGAAGGAGAAAAGGAGGGAAGUCCUGUGACUGUCCUAGUGUACUUCCUGUAGAGACUUUUGCAAGCCACAGCAGAGGAAAGGGUAAACUAAACAGUCUCCCUGAACUGAAAAGAUAAGAGUUGAGAAUUCAGGAAGGCCGAAGUGGCUAGAAUUCCAAGCAAUUAUACAGUCGAUAGAAUUCAUGGAAAAGGUUGUCAAAUAGGCUAUUCUAAAUAAAACUUCACGUAUUCAAGAAGACAGAAGGUGCUGUCAAAUGUGCAAGGAAGCCUCCUGAAAGGGAGGAGGGGCAUGGGAGGGUGCCAGUGAAGCUCUCAGAAUGAUGAGUGCCACUGGCUGCCCCAGCCGCCUGUGAGUGCUAUCAGAACUCACAAGAGAUUGUGUAUCCCACAUGUAUCCUGCUGGCUACGGUUCAUCAUCCGAGUAAGAAUGGAAAAGUGUUUCAGAACCAGGAAGAAAAGCCCCACUUUCAUGCAAUGUCUCUCCACUCCCAUCUAGUAAAAAGCUUAACACUAGCCCAGCUGUCAGUAGGGAAUGUUUACAUGGCUCAGCUCCAAUACUGCAAAGCAGGUCAAGGAAGGAUAGAUUUGCUAGGAAAUAAGUUGAUAAAGCACAAGAGUAUCCAAAACAUUAUAUCUUUUGAUUUCCACCUCUGACAAAGAAGAUUCAACCUGAAGGUUCACCAAAGAGAAACAGAGAUCUCUAUCAGCAUCAAUAAAAGGACAAUGAAAAUACAGCUCGUGAAUAGAAGCCCAACUCUCUUCAGAUUUUACCAGUAAGAUGUCACAUUUCCAUUCCUCUGUUUUUCCACAUUUAAUUUCUAGACUUAGAAAUAUCAUAAUUUGGAAAUUACAGUAAAGUAUAUAUGCUGGUCUUAA